rnacentral:rRNA from 1 species
CCUUUCAGUAGGGAAGAAGCGAAAGUGACGGUACCUGCAGAAGAAGCGCCGGCUAACUACGUGCCAGCAGCCGCGGUAAUACGUAGGGCGCAAGCGUUAUCCGGAAUUAUUGGGCGUAAAGAGCUCGUAGGCGGUUUGUCGCGUCUGCUGUGAAAGACCGGGGCUCAACUCCGGUUCUGCAGUGGGUACGGGCAGACUAGAGUGAUGUAGGGGAGACUGGAAUUCCUGGUGUAGCGGUGAAAUGCGCAGAUAUCAGGAGGAACACCGAUGGCGAAGGCAGGUCUCUGGGCAUUAACUGACGCUGAGGAGCGAAAGCAUGGGGAGCGAACAGGAUUAGAUACCCUGGUAGUCCAUGCCGUAAACGUUGGGCACUAGGUGUGGGGGACAUUCCACGUUUUCCGCGCCGUAGCUAACGCAUUAAGUGCCCCGCCUGGGGAGUACGGCCGCAAGGCUAAAACUCAAAGGAAUUGACGGGGGCCCGCACAAGCGGCGGAGCAUGCGGAUUAAUUCGAUGCAACGCGAAGAACCUUACCAAGGCUUGACAUGAACCGGUAAUACCUGGAAACAGGUGCCCCGCUUGCGGUCGGUUUACAGGUGGUGCAUGGUUGUCGUCAGCUCGUGUCGUGAGAUGUUGGGUUAAGUCCCGCAACGAGCGCAACCCUCGUUCUAUGUUGCCAGCGCGUUAUGGCGGGGACUCAUAGGAGACUGCCGGGGUCAACUCGGAGGAAGGUGGGGACGACGUCAAAUCAUCAUGCCCCUUAUGUCUUGGGCUUCACGCAUGCUACAAUGGCCGGUACAAAGGGUUGCGAUACUGUGAGGUGGAGCUAAUCCCAAAAAGCCGGUCUCAGUUCGGAUUGGGGUCUGCAACUCGACCCCAUGAAGUCGGAGUCGCUAGUAAUCGCAGAUCAGCAACGCUGCGGUGAAUACGUUCCCGGGCCUUGUACACACCGCCCGUCAAGUCACGAAAGUUGGUAACACCCGAAGCCGGU